rnacentral:lncRNA from 1 species
UCCAUGACAAAAGAAAAAAUCAUCUAUAGGUUCCUAGAUGGAUCUUAAAUUACUUUUAGGUCUCUGAAUUUUUCAAGUUGAUUAAAAUUUUUUUAAAAUACUAAGAAAUUAUUUCUAGAUCCCUGCCGUCCAUACAGAUUGGUUACACAGGUCCAUGUUCAGGUUACACGGAUUUAUGUUCAAGUUACACGAAUUUAUUUUCAGAUUGCGC